AUCGCUUCUCGGCCUUUUGGCUAAGAUCAAGUGUAGUAUCAUGAUCUUGACAGUAUAAAGAGUACACGUCUUUCAUUUUGUAUGAUGUCCCUCAACCCUU
ensembl:snRNA U2 U2 spliceosomal RNA